rnacentral:tRNA from 1 species
GCCGGGAUAGCUCAGUUGGUAGAGCAACCGCCUUGUAAGCGGUAGGUCGAGGGUUCGAGUCCCUUUCCCGGCU